rnacentral:rRNA from 1 species
UACGGGGGGGGCAAGCGUUGUUCGGAAUUACUGGGCGUAAAGGGCUCGUAGGCGGCCAACUAAGUCAGACGUGAAAUCCCUCGGCUUAACCGGGGAACUGCGUCUGAUACUGGAUGGCUCGAGUUUGGGAGAGGGAUGCGGAAUUCCAGGUGUAGCGGUGAAAUGCGUAGAUAUCUGGAGGAACACCGGUGGCGAGGGCGGCAUCCUGGACCAACACUGACGCUGAUGAGCGAAAGCCAGGGGAGCAAACGGG